rnacentral:lncRNA from 1 species
CAUAAACUUAAUAUUAUAUCUGAAAACAGAUGAACUCAUCAGAUCCCAAGUAAAAUCAAAAUGUAUGUACAAGAAUGAAAUAUUGGUAGUUAAUCUUUCUGGAUAUUUUCAGUAAAACAGCGGAUAUUGCACAGUUUCGGGAAAAACCACGACUUUCAUGCCUUCUAUUUAUCCAUUUCAUCUUCAGUGUCACUUGGAAAUAAUGAAAACUUAAAAAUAGGAUGUUAAAUAUUGCUUGAUCAUUGUUCAUAUUCUAGUAUAUUUACCUCUUUCUCAGGGUUGCUAUCAAAUACAAUUGAAAAUCCUCCACAGUCUCCUCCCCACAGACUGUGUUUCCCUUUCCAGUUGAAUGGAAAGAGAUACAUUGUAUGAGAAAUGUCGCACUCGAAGAUGCUGGGAACAACGUUUCUUUCCACAUGCCGAGGCACUGCAUUUUUGGACAGAAUCAUCACACCUAUCCACUGCUGAAUUUAGGUUUGCACAUCUAUGCUGCAUAAACAAGCGCAAAGCUUCCAGAUUGUUUAGUCUAGAAGCUUUGCCAACAGCAGGAAGAUAAUUACGACUACCAAGCCACCAAUGUGGACCUGAGUUGACUUUCCAAGCUCAUAUUGGUGGCCCAAAAGGAUUGGUAGGUGGAUAGUCACCCACGCAACUGUCCGAACUGACUUCCAGAGAGGGAUCGAAGAAAGACAACGAAAACACUAUUAAGGAUAUCUCGAGAUCAUCUACUGUGCAGUCCACUGGGGAAGCAUUGCAGUUGUAGGAAACAUCUUCCUCUUGCAAUACCACCGGAAACUCUAAAAGAAAUAUUAAUUAUAGUAUAUAACCAGCCGUCUAUUAAUAGUAAAAUUUCAAAUUUAAUCUACACUUCUAUAAUCAAAUAACUACUUCACCUUUCUAACUAAUCCACGUUUAACAUAUUAAUAUGUAACUGAAUGGCAAUGGAAAGAAAAAGUACUGUACUGUAUUCCGUUUCACUUUAG